GAUGAACGCUAGCUACAGGCUUAACACAUGCAAGUCGAGGGGAAACGACAUCGAAAGCUUGCUUUUGAUGGGCGUCGACCGGCGCACGGGUGAGUAACGCGUAUCCAACCUGCCCACCACUUGGGGAUAACCUUGCGAAAGUAAGACUAAUACCCAAUGAUAUCUCUAGAAGACAUCUGAAAGAGAUUAAAGAUUUAUCGGUGAUGGAUGGGGAUGCGUCUGAUUAGCUUGUUGGCGGGGUAACGGCCCGCCAAGGCAACGAUCAGUAGGGGUUCUGAGAGGAAGGUCCCCCACAUUGGAACUGAGACACGGUCCAAACUCCUACGGGAGGCAGCAGUGAGGAAUAUUGGUCAAUGGACGAGAGUCUGAACCAGCCAAGUAGCGUGCAGGAAGACGGCCCUAUGGGUUGUAAACUGCUUUUAUAAGGGAAUAAAGUGAGUCUCGUGAGACUUUUUGCAUGUACCUGAUGAAUAAGGACCGGCUAAUUCCGUG
rnacentral:rRNA from 1 species